UACGUAGGGUGCGAGCGUUAAUCGGAAUUACUGGGCGUAAAGCGUGCGCAGGCGGUUUUGUAAGACAGAUGUGAAAUCCCCGGGCUUAACCUGGGAACUGCAUUUGUGACUGCAAGGCUAGAGUACGGCAGAGGGGGGUAGAAUUCCACGUGUAGCAGUGAAAUGCGUAGAUAUGUGGAGGAAUACCGAUGGCGAAGGCAGCCCCCUGGGUCGAUACUGACGCUCAUGCACGAAAGCGUGGGGAGCAAACAGGAUUAGAUACCCUGGUAGUCCACGCCCUAAACGAUGCCAACUAGGGGUGGGGGGAGGAGACUUCCUUAGUACGGUAGCUAACGCGUGAAGUUGACCGCCGGGGGAGUAGGGUCGCAAGAUUA
rnacentral:rRNA from 1 species